AUGAUGGCUGAAGGGCCCUCGAUCUCGAUGUUCCCGGAGCUCGUGGUGUGCGACCCCUUGCACCGGCGGUACAUCCUGCUUCCCCCACUGCCCGAUGGCCUAGUGGCAUCGGUGGAGAGGCAAGAUGACGAAUUUUUAGGGUGGUCUUGCGAGCCCAGCCUCAUUCCACUCAGCGAUGAGGAGGCUGCCCUGGUGGAAGAGACGACGUUCAGAGUGAUCUGGUCGGCAUCUUGCAAAACCAAUAUGGCCGUGUUUGUCUUCUCUUCGACCACUGGGCAAUGGCGAGCUACUGCAUCCCAGACCUGGAGUGAUCUGGUUAUUGACAGGCAGCCUUUGUAUUUUAUCAGGCGCCAUUUGGUGGGCGGCUGCGUCUACUGGGUCUUGCCGAUGAACAAUACGGAUUUGCUUGUGCUUGACACCAGAACUAUGGAGUUUUCCAUUGCUGACCUCCCACCUGGACAAUGGAACCGGCAAGAUAUAGCUAUUGUGGAUGCAGGGGAAGGCAGGCUUGGGAUGCUUAGUACAGGUUAUGGAAAUGCAAAUGGUGAAUCUUAUCUCUGUUAUACCAUUAGGCAAAACAAAGGCGAGAGCUUCGGCGAGUGGCAGAUGGAGAAAAUCUCACUAGGUUCUUGGUAUCGGUAUCGUAUUGUAGGUGGAACAGAGAAGUACUUGAUCCUACUAAGGAUAGAAACCCCGAAGUACUUAUCGCUUAGCCCACCAAUCAUGGAAUUUUGCAAACUGGAUGUCCGGACAAUGCAGGUUGAGAGGAUGUGUGCGGAAUCUUCCGGGUUUUCCGGUUCUAAAGUGUGCCUAUAUGCCGACUUCCCACCAUCGCUGUUGUCUUCACCGACAGUAUGA
rnacentral:rRNA from 1 species